rnacentral:lncRNA from 1 species
AGGCUCACCAUGAUGAGACUUGCUGUCUACCUUGAAUACAUGUUUUAUGUAGGUGACUAAAGUAGCACAGCGAUUAUAUACUAGGAAACUGAUACUAUCAGAAGAAUGAUUUGUUACACAAAAUGGAAGACGUUUUGUUCACAGAACUGUGGGCCCAACCUACUACACGAGUCCUUUCAAGAGAGGAAACGUUCCUGGCUGCAGCUAGAGAGAGAUGGCAGCGUGAGGAGGCUCUGACUUGCUGCAGCUGCCCUGAAGAUACGGGAAGGGUGUCACCGGCUAUGGGGUGCUGGAGGCCUCUGGAAGUGGAUUCUCUUCUAACAACUACAGAAAAGAAUGCUGUUGUGCUGACAUUUUGAUUUUAGCCCAGUGACAUCUGUGCUGGAUUUCUGACCUACAGUACUAUAAGGUUCUCCUGUAGAACUUCCCAGGCAGAAGAAAAGAUAAUUCUAAUGGUUCUGCUGUGGAGCAGAGAGUCACAGCUUGCAUCACAGUCCACGGAUCACCAAGAGGAACCUUACU